GGAAGUUAUUAUCUUUCGUGUCAUAUCCGAACAAUGAUGGUUUGUUUGCAUUUUAUGAUGACUGAACAUGGCGAUAACGAAUCUCAUUACUUUAGUGUGAGCCGCGUUAAUUGGGAACUUUUCUUCUGAACAGAGUUUUGCAAUCACACAAGAUGUUAGAGGUUGUUGUAACGUCACAACCGGAAGUGGUGGUUGCUCCAAGUAGUGUGCAGUUGUUUGAUAACAACAGUUGUUUGAUAUCAACGAGCAAAAUACAGACGCCACCGUGUUUGAAAUCAUGGAGCAAAAGAAGACGACGACAAACGAUGGCGUGUAUAUCACAAGUGACGACGCGUAUACCACACGUGACGAUAGCUGCAUUAUGUGCCUCUCGUGCUGCUUCUUCUGCUGUACGGAACACGAAAAUGGAAGCUGAAACGACAAUUGCUGUGAUUGCGGAGACAGCAAUUGCUGUGAUUGCGGGGACUGUGAUUGUGGGGGAUUUGAUUGUGGGGACUGCGAUUGUGGGGGCUGUGAUUGUGGGGGAUUU